CCGCGUGUGUCUCUCUAAAAGCUGCAAAGCCCCCUCCAGAUCUCUCCCCCCCACCCCCCACCCCCACCCCUCCUCGCCCUCCCCUUUGCCGGGAGAUGGAUGACUUGUCAGACAAAGGCAAUAGAUUCCAACACUCUCUGAUUCGCCAGCGCGCGGAGACGGAGCCCGGGCGAGGAGCCGCCGAUGAAAGUGCUUUCCGCCUUCAGGAUCCAGGAGAUCUCUCGAGCUAAAGCGGCUGGGAUUUGAUACACAUCAAAGCUUUCUCGGUGUUUAACUUAAAAAAACCCCCCUCCUUAUUGUAUCGCUUUGAAGUGGCAUAUUUGGGACUCGGAGAUGACAAAUCCGGGGGUUACAAAGUUUCUCUGGUUUUGCGCGCGCGUGUCAAAAUAAGGAAAAUAAAAUAAUCCCGAGUGUCCCUC